rnacentral:tRNA from 1 species
GGUUGUGUAGUGUAGCGGUUAUCACUCCGGAUUCUGAAAACACACGGAAAUUCCGGCAACCCCGGUUCGAUUCCGGGCACGACCU